rnacentral:rRNA from 1 species
AUUGAACGCUGGCGGCAGGCCUAACACAUGCAAGUCGAACGAGUGGCGGAAGGGUGAGUAAUGUCUGGGAAACUGCCUGAUGGAGGGGGAUCACUACUGGAAACGGUAGCUAAUACCGCAUACCAUCGGAUGUGCCCAGAUGGGCUUAGCUAGUAGGUUGGGUAAAGGCUAACCUAGGCGACGAGCCCUAGCUGGUCUGAGAGGCGGACCAGCCAAAAUGGAACUGGGACACGGUCCAGACUCCGACGUGAGGCAGCAGUGGGGAAUAUUGCACAAUGGGCGCAAGCCUGAUGCAGCCAUGCCGCGUGUAUGAAGAAGGCCUUCGGGUUGUAAAGUACUUGCAGCGGGGAGGCGUUACCCGCAGAAGAAGCACCGGCUAACUCCGUGCCAGCCGCCGCGGUAAUUC